GAUGAAGAACGUAGCGAGAUGCGAUACGUAAUGUGAAUUGCAGAAUUCAGUGAAUCAUCGAGUCUUUGAACGCACAUUGCGCCCCCUGGUAUUCCGGGGGGCAUGCCUGUCCGAGCGUCAUUGCUGCCCUCAAGCCCGGCUUGUGUGUUGGGUCUCGUCCCCCUUCCCGGGGGGACGGGCCCGAAAGGCAGCGGCGGCACCGCGUCCGGUCCUCGAGCGUAUGGGGCUUUGUCACCCGCUCUGUAGGCCCGGCCGGCGCUUGCCGAUCAACCAAAACUUUUUUCCAGGUUGACCUCGGAUCAGGUAGGGAUACCCGCUGAACUUAAGCAUAUCAAUAAGCGGAGGA
rnacentral:misc_RNA from 1 species